UGGGGAAUCUUGGACAAUGGGCGCAAGCCUGAUCCAGCCAUGCCGCGUGGAUGAUGAAGGCCUUAGGGUUGUAAAAUCCUUUCGCCGAGGACGAUAAUGACGGUACUCGGAGAAGAAGCUCCGGCUAACUUCGUGCCAGCAGCCGCGGUAAUACGAAGGGGGCUAGCGUUGUUCGGAUUUACUGGGCGUAAAGCGCGUGUAGGCGGGUUGGAAAGUUGGGGGUGAAAUCCCGAGGCUCAACCUCGGAACUGCCUCCAAAAUUUCCAGCCUGGACUCAAGUAGAGGCAAGUGGAAUUGCGAGUGUAGAGGUGAAAUUCGUAGAUAUUCGCAGGAACACCAGUGGCGAAGGCGACUUGCUGGACUUGUAGUGACGCUGAGACGCGAAAGCGUGGGGAGCAAACAGGAUUAGAUACCCCUGUAGUCCCUGAGCGGGCUGGCAAGGCGCAU
rnacentral:rRNA from 1 species